AUUCACUCUGAUUGCCUGUUUGAGAAAGAAGACCCUUUGCAACAGAGAGUGGAACUUUCGCCAACCCACAAUCUGGAGGCUUCGAGGUCAUUUGAAAGACACAUCAUUUCCCGCAACCCAUGAAAUGAUGUACAAUUGUUGUGAUCUGUGAAUACUUGUUGAAUCAUCCUGCUUGCCUGUUUGAGAAAGAAGGCCCUUUGCAACAGAGAGUGGAACUUUCGCCAACCCACAAUCUGGAGGCUUUGAGGUCAUUUGAAGGACACAUCAUUUCCUGCAGAACCAACCAUGCCUUUAGAAGUAGACACAGAUGGAUACAAUUUAUCAUCAAUAAAACCAUGGAGAUCAAAGGAAUGAAACAAAAAAACUGUUGGUAUUCUCUUUCGUUUCAUUUUUGUAUCUUAAUAUUUAUACACUGUAUGUAUCUAUAUAAAAUGCAUGUUGCUUGUAGACAUAUUGGCUCUACUGGUCAAAGAUCAGAAAAGCUUAACAUGCAUUGGUAAAAUGUUUGUCAUCCAUCUGGUUGUCUGUCAACAGAUUUUAAAAUGUUGAUCUUCUUACAAUUUGGGAUAAUUUAGUAGAACUCAGUACAAAAGUAGAUUUUACAUUAAGUCUACAUUAAGAUAGAUUUUAUUAGUUGGACUUUGCCAUCAUUUCAAUUAUUGAAUUUGCUAUGGUCAUAAAAACUAAAUUUCUUUGAAAUGCUUUCAAAUUUCUACCUCCCAAUCAGUGAGGUUGCAGUACAUUAGAAAACUACACUAAAGUACACAAUUCUAUGCAUAUGAUACAAUUUCAUUAAACGUGGUGCCCUGAUAAUGGAUUUCUUUGGUAUUGCCUAAAGAUUAAAGUAUUUUUGUGAAAUAUCUUUAAAAAUGCCACUGUAUUUCCAGAUUUUUUUUAAAUUCAAUAGAACUUACGGUAAAUUUUAAGUAUUCAAAUGACAAAAAAGGGUCAUUUUGGUGGAUUUUAGAAAACAUCAGAAACACAUUUUUUGAUUAACAAAAAAUUUACAUAAGUUUCAAUUUCAUAUACAUUUCUUAUUUUGACCGCACAAACCAGUAUUGAGCAGCAGUCGUGUAGUUCAACAAUGUCAGUUCUGUAUUAAAAUGGGAAUAUAUUUAUGAAAACCAGAAAAAUACUUAUUUUCACAUAUGCAUCAUUUUAAACAUUUUAGUAAACAUGGUUAACAUAGUUGUUUGAGGGAGGUUAAAAAACAAAACACAAAUUUGUACUUUCUAUAUUUUUAUGCCCCGGUAAACAAAGUUUCGGGGUGUAUAGUUUUUGUCAUGUCUGUCUGUCUGUCUGUCUCUCUGUUUGUCUGUUUGUCUGCAAAAACUUUAACCUUGCCCAUAACUUUUGAUUUAGUGGAGCUAUGACUUUCAUAUUUCAUAUGUGUAUUCCUUGUGACAAGACCUUUUUUUGGGUACCACCAAAUUUGACCUUUUUACCUUGACCUUGGAGUUUGACCCACUUU